rnacentral:rRNA from 1 species
GAUGAACGCUGGCGGCGCGCCUAACACAUGCAAGUCGAACGAUUAAAGCACCUUCGGGUGUGUAUAAAGUGGCGAACGGCUGAGUAACACGUGGGCAACCUGCCCCUUUCAUUGGGAUAGCCACGGGAAACCGUGGAUAAUACCGAAUACUUCGAGACUUCCGCAUGGAAGACUCGAGAAAGCUCCGGCGGAGAGGGAUGGGCCCGCGGCCUGUUAGCUUGUUGGUGGGGUAACGGCCUACGAAGGCAAUGCUGGGUAGCUGGGUUGAGAGACCGACCAGCCAUAUUGGGACUGAAACACGGCCCAGACUCCUACGGGAGGCAGCAGUGGGGAAUCUUGCACAAUGGGCGAAAGCCUGAUGCAGCGACGCCGCGUGCGGGAUGAGGGCCUUCGGGUUGUAAACCGCUUUCAGCAGGGACGAGGCGAAAGUGACGGUACCUGCAGAAGAAGCCCCGGCUAACUACGUG